AGCGAACGCUGGCGGCAGGCCUAACACAUGCAAGUCGAGCGGCCGUAGCAAUACGGCAGCGGCAGACGGGAGAGUAACACGUGGGAACGUGCCCUUUGGUUCGGAAUAACGCAGGGAAACUUGCGCUAAUACCGAAUAAGCCCUUACGGGGAAAGAUUUAUCGCCAUUGGAGCGGCCCGCGUCUGAUUGGCUAGUUGGUGGGGUAACGGCUCACCAAGGCGACGAUCAGUAGCNGGUCUGAGAGGAUGAUCAGCCUCACUGGGACUGAGACACGGCCCAGACUCCUACGGGAGGCAGCAGUAGGGAAUUUUCCACAAUGGACGAAAGUCUGAUGGAGCAACGCCGCGUGCAGGAGGAAGGCCU
rnacentral:rRNA from 1 species